rnacentral:lncRNA from 1 species
UCUGCCGUUGUCGUCCGUCGACUUGACGAUCAAGCAAAACGCAAAAUUUGGGGAAUUCGGGGCCAAACAGAGGAGAACGAUAAUAACGCAAAAAAGCUAGACUAGAUCAAACGUAGUACAAGUAUCGAACAGAAGAAGGUGCGAAAUCAGGUAGAAAUUUAUUAUGUUUGCGUUCAUUAUAUGUUACUCGUAGCUGCAUCGUACGUAACUGUCGGUAUUAUCAGUGGUCGCUAUUAUUCGCGAAAGAGAACACAAAAUUUAUCUAACAUUGAUUGACAAAAAUUUACAAAUCGUCUUUUUCCUCUGAUUGUUUUAACUCCUUCGCAGUAUAUCAUAUGUAUUAUUAAUCUGUUCAGUUUUUCUUGCGUCGGUCACGUACAUGUGUGUGAUAUCGUCCGACGUUAUCAUCCGCGGACGUUACCAUCCGCGGACGUUACCAUUCGCGGUUUCUUUUCCGUCAUUACCGAUCGGGCUUAGUCGUUUCUUUGCGAUUCUACGAGUGGCUUGGCUUUUUGUCGAAUGUCGCGCGCAUUGGUCACGGACGUUCAACCUCCGCUGUCUCUCGUCAAGUUCAAUGAAAAGGUAUCAAUCGUUUUCUGUUCACCUGCAAGAGGUUCUUGGACGACACGGCGGCCAUAAUGCAGCAAUCCACUAGGGGACGACGAAAUUGCAUGAUGACUUCCCGGAGAAUUACCUGGUUAGCUCGUAAUUGCAUUUGAUUCCGUUAUUGCUAACACGAAAACUUACUUCCACGAGCAUCUCGUUCGCCUGUAGGAAGUCUUAGAAACGCAGUAUGAGAAACAUUUCGGAGGCAAUAAACUAACGACUACAAUGGCAAAUUCCCUACAAAAUUUUGCAGUUUUUAGGACUUCAAGAUGGAAAUAUUGCGUUCGUUCUGUUUCAUUCAUAAAGAUGUUCUUGCGCGGUUGUGCAAGACAGUGAGAGAACGACGACAUUUCGCGUCCGGUUACUCCAGCUUGGUCAGAUUGGCGUUUCGUAUUUAUAGUUUGACCUAAUCUUCCUAAGAGUCAAAGAUGAAAAGACACACGACGCGCGGCAAAGAGAGAGAAAGAGAGAGAGAGAGAAAGAGAGAGAAGUUACUCGCGCGGUAUCCCGACUCUCCGUUUUCCGUGAACGUCGUCAUGCCUCUGGCAUUCGUUUUCGCCCCUUCACAUUUCAGCGGGGCAGCGACGAAAUUAACGCCGAAGAGGUGAGUAACCCGCUCUCUGGGAUUGGCAACAACAGUCUUCUCGUUGCGCGCGACGCGUCUACUCUUACGUAACAUCUCCACGAUCUUGAUUUAAAGCUACUCUUCUUUCUGAACUGUAAUAAACAUUUCUCUUCUCCACAUAUUUUCCUAAAUAAAUGACGUUUCUGCUAUAAACACACUGAUAUCGACUUAAAUUAUUAUAUGUUACUUUAUUCUAACAGAAAAAAAUUAUGUAUUUUUCACAUUUUUUUGUUACAUAUGCAGAAACAUAUUUGUUUACACACUCUGUAUAUAUUAUUCUAGGUUUUAUCACACAUUAAAGUUAAAUUGUCUUUAAUUAUAUAUAAAAUUCAAUAGAUUGUUAAACAAUCGUAUCUCGUUCAAAUGUUCUGCAAUGAAAUUUUUAACAUGCUUAAAACUUAUUAUACAUGUAAUCUGGAAAACGAUACAAUACGGAAACGAUGCAGGGAAAAGCAUAUGAACUCCCUAAGUCUUUUAAAUAAGACGGCGCGCUGCGAUUUGUCGGAUUUGUGGAAACGCGAGCGAUUUGUCCUGCUUUCGGUGCGAGUUACGUAAACAGCAGCCACGAAAAAUAAAAAAAAAAUGAAAAAAAAAGAAGCGACAUAUGGUACGUUCGUAUCUCCGCCGUGAUAUCGCCUUAUCCCCAUGGGAGACUUUAAGCUGGCCAGAGCUUAACGAUCGCGGGAACGACGGCCACUUUGGCGAAGGGAAAACGACUGCUCGUUCACCGUCUCUCCUUCCCGUCUCAGGAGAAAGAAAUUCUCCGACUCCUUCGUCGACCUCGCUUGACGGCCAAUUAAGGAGACCGAUUACCCUCGCUCGUAUUAUUCGCUCAAAUAAAAUGCGUUACGUCUCGUGUCAGAACUUCAGCUCGUAUAAUUACGGGAAUACUUGUCCCUACCAGAAUGACGCGAAAUGCACUCGGCGUCGCGUUUAAAAAGUAAUUCUAAAAGCCUCUUCCGAAAAUCUGGUUUAAUAAUUGUCUCGCCCUUUUGCAAAAUUUUUUCCACAAAAUUACGCGGACUCUCAGCGACACGCUAAUUGUAUGCAUUUUCCAGAAUCACAUUUUAACAGCACGAUGUGCACUUCUACUUCCUCUCCAUUUACUAUAUUAUAAUGUAAAAAAACUGAAUGUAAGUAUUAUAUUAUUACUAUUUAGCUACAUUCAGUUUUUAAAUUUUGCCAGUGUACAAUCGGGGCGGUUUAAACAUAAUUUUUCAAAUGAAAGAACUCAAAGAAAAUAUAAAACAAUUAAAUAUCCUUAAAUAAAAUUAGUUUUCUUUGCUUCUCUAGUCAGUUGGUAUCAUUUAACGAGUGACAAAUGCACGGUAGGAAAUUUCGUAGAAUUUUAAGGGAACAAGAUUCGAUGCAAAUUAUUAAAACCAUGAUUAUAAUGACUUUAGGCAUGUGCAUAAACGAUCCAUUAGAACAUGAUGAUAUCAAAUUAUGUUUCCUCUGAAGAGCAGUUUUUAUUUUUCGAUGGGACACAUGGGAAAAGGACAAAAAAUUACGAGCUCCCCCCCUCUCUCUCUCUUCUCUCCUUGUCUCUCUGUAUCUAUCUAUCUCUCUCUCUCUCUCUAUGAAAUUCGCGGCCGCAUAAACCCGGCUGUCUGGCCAAUUAUCCUUUGAUGUGCUUACUCGUACGUAGCGUUGCAACUCGCAUUCGACUCCACUUAUUUCAUAAGCUAAGAGACGAGAGGGUAAGGGAGAGACUAAUAUUCAUCAUUCGCUCUUCUCUCGCGAAAAUCAACAGUUACGUAUUCUGUUUGCCGACGUCUCGCUUCGCCGCUCGGCGCUAUCGGGCGUCCUUUGAUCCUCGCGAUGAAUAUCGUCCGUUUGCGUCGACAAUUACGAAUUGAGUAAUGAGAUGAAAUACGUGGCGCCGACGACUCGUUCACGACCGACGCGAAAUCAAGCACUUGGAUUCACUCGCAAUCGAGUUUACGAUUCAUGUGCUUAAUGAAAAUUAUCGUGUCUUGGUGUGUAGUAGUCAAGUUUAUGAAUCUUUUGAGAUAUUUGAAUAAUUUUGCAAAAAAUUUAUUG